CCCUAUUUUCAAACAUCUCAUCAAUCUUUAAAAGGAUCUCCAUUGGAAAAUCCGACUACGGACCCGAACCAGUGGGCGGGAAAAUCCGGUGCUCAAACAAUCCAAGAACUUCGCCGGAAUCAAAUUCAGUUCUCGAGCUGAAUUGGGCAGAAAUUCAGUCAUUUGAUCCAUUUAGGGCUUUUAAGUUUCCUCAUAAUGCCUUCAUUUCCUCCUCCUGGGUCUGUUACCAUCUGCGAAAUCAAUCGCGACCUCAUUACUGCUGAUCGAAUCUCCGAUGAUCUAGCGAACGACACUUAUGGGAAAGUCCUUGGUAUGGUGUUUAGUCCUGUUCCAUUUCAGUCCGAUUUUUUGGUGUCGCCGAAUCCUGAACCGAACAAUGAGGCUAGAAACGAUGAAGCAAAUGGGGAAAGUAUCCAAAGGAAGAGUGUGAUUGCAUCUUUGCAGGGAUUCCUCGAGGACUCCAUCAAGCGUUUUUUACGUCCUAAUGAUGUAAAAUACUUACCAGCAGAAUAUCUUCAAGGAAUGAGUUGGCACCAGCACAAGCAUAUUUUAGCAUUCAUAUCUGGGACGAAUCAAGUUGUUGUCCGUGAUUUUGAAAAUGCAGAAGGAAAAGACCCUUGCAUUUUGACCCACGACUUGCAAAAGGAUGUUAAAGUUCUUGAGUGGAGACCAAAUGGCGGGAGGACCCUUUCGGUGGCAUGCAAAGAUGGAAUUUGCAUCUGGGCUGCUUCUUUCCCAGGAAAUGCUGCUUCGGUGAGACCUGGUGCCGUGUCCUUUUUAGGAUCAUUCUCAAGAGGCUCUGGGGUUCGAUAUACCCUAGUUGAUUUUCUUCGGACCCGUGAUGAACAGAUUAGUGCCCUGUCAUGGAGUCCUGAUGGAAGAUAUCUAGCAUCUGCAUCUUAUGAGAGCUCUUCUUUUACCAUUUGGGAUGUCUCUCAAGGGUUAGGAACACCCAUUAGGCGUGGAUUAGGGUGUGUAUCAACAAUCAAGUGGUCACCUUCUGGAGAUUACUUUUUUGCUGCAAAAUUGGAUGGAACAUUUUAUCUUUGGGAAACGAACACAUGGACAUCUGAACAGUGGUCGACAACAAGUGGUUUUGUCACGGGAGCAAUAUGGGAUCCUGAUGGACGUAUGAUACUACUUGCUUUCUCUGAGUCUUCAGUAUUGGGUUCAAUUCAUUUUGCAUCUAAGCCUCCGUCAUUAGUUGCACAUCUGCUAGCUGUUGACUUGCCAGAGAUAACUACUUUGACGAACAGUCAGGGUAUUGAGAAGAUAGCAUGGGAUGCUUCAGGAGAGCGACUGGCUGUCUCUUUCAAGGAUGGAGAUGAAUUAUAUAAUGGCCUGAUCGCAGUAUAUGAUAUUAAAAGGACUCCCCUGAUUUGUCCAUCAUUGAUUGGCUUUAUUAGAGGGCCUGGAGACAAUCCAAAGCCAGCUGCAUUUUCGUUCCAUGGCAAGUUCAAGCAGGGACCUUUGCUUUCAGUGUGUUGGAGCAGUGGAUUUUGCUGUACCUAUCCUCUCAUAUUCCGCUCUCAUGUUGUUCCUUAGUGGUGGUUCUCUUGGAGCCCUAGUCUUGGUAGGAGAUGCUGUAUGGUGCUAAAUUUCAAAGAGAAGAGGUUUUCUAAUUCUUCUGUACAGUCUGUUGCUGCAAAUCCUACGGUCAAAAUUGAUAUAGAAAUUACAGGGAAGAUUUGUAGGUCGGUGGAUUUACAUUUUACUAGAGCAUAGCAUCCAGCCAAGAUGGUCCUCACCAUGAAAGACCCUCUCCCUUGCAUGACUUUUUGUCCAACCCUUCAUUUAUUAUUAUGGCCAUCUCGUUCUACACUAGCUUGAACACAACUGGGAUUACCUCAACUUUCUCCAACAUUUUUCUCUC